CGGUUGAUCCUGCCAGAGGUCACUGCUAUCGGUGUUCGACUAAGCCAUGCAAGUUAUAUGUUCUUCGUGAACAUGGCGAACUGCUCAGUAACACGUGGAUAACCUGCCCUUGGGACCGGCAUAACCCCGGGAAACUGGGGAUAAUUCCGGAUAUGCCAUGAUAGCUGGAAUGCUUCGUGGUUCAAAAGGAUUCGUCUGCCCAAGGAUGGGUCUGCGGCCUAUCAGGUAGUAGCGGGUGCAAGGUACCUGCUAGCCGACGACGGGUACGGGUUGUGAGAGCAAGAGCCCGGAGAUGGAUUCUGAGACAUGAAUCCAGGCCCUACGGGGCGCAGCAGGCGCGAAAACUUUACAAUGCGGGAAACCGCGAUAAGGGGACACCGAGUGCCAGCAUACAAUGCUGGCUGUCCGCAUGUGUAAACGGCAUGCGUUAGCAAGGGCCGGGCAAGACCGGUGCCAGCCGCCGCGGUAACACCGGCGGCCCGAGUGGUGAUCACUAUUAUUGGGUCUAAAGGGUCCGUAGCCGGUUUGAUCAGUCCUCUGGGAAAUCUGACAGCUCAACUGUUAGGCUUCCAGGGGAUACUGUCAGACUUGGGACCGGGAGAGGUAAGAGGUACCACAGGGGUAGGAGUGAAAUCUUGUAAUCCCUGUGGGACCACCAGUGGCGAAGGCGUCUUACCAGAACGGGUCCGACGGUGAGGGACGAAAGCUGGGGGCACGAACCGGAUUAGAUACCCGGGUAGUCCCAGCCGUAAACGAUGCUCGCUAUGUGUCAGGGAUGGUGCGACCGUUCCUGGUGCCGUAGGGAAGCCGUGAAGCGAGCCACCUGGGAAGUACGGCCGCAAGGCUGAAACUUAAAGGAAUUGGCGGGGGAGCACUACAACGGGUGGAGCCUGCGGUUUAAUUGGACUCAACGCCGGAAAUCUCACCGGGGGCGACAGCAAUAUGUAGGUCAGGCUGAAGACCUUACCUGAAUCGCUGAGAGGAGGUGCAUGGCCGUCGUCAGUUCGUACUGUGAAGCAUCCUGUUAAGUCAGGCAACGAGCGAGACCCGUGCCCACUGUUGCCAGCAUGUUCUUCGG
rnacentral:rRNA from 1 species